UUGCAGACGAUGAAAGGAUAAAAAGUACAGAAAGUGAACUUGACUAUUAAAGUGGGAUAGUGGAAAGCACUGCACACUGGGAGUCAGCUGUUUUAGUCACUCUGAAAUUAUGGCAACAAUUGUACUUCCUGUUUUGUUCAUUGUGAUGGCAGCUUGGCAGGAAUCCUGUUGCAUCUAUCCAGGUUGGUGUUGGCAUGGCCUUCCAGAUUAGCAGUCUUGGAGUUAACAUUGCGAUGAAUGGGGCAUCUCUCAUAGCUACUGUUUCUGGCUCUCUACAGAUCCAGGGAAUCAUCACUGAAUUGGGUACACUCAGAUCAUAUUGUCAAGAUUUUCUUCACAACCAUGAGGGAUGGAGACUUUCUGCUCUAAAUUCUGACUUAAUCGCACAUUCCAGGAACUGGGGGCCCUAGAUAUGGGCCUGUAGUACAGAUGCCUUAAUCCAGCCCUGGAUUGAUUGAAGCCAAUAACUCAAUAAUUACCAAUAGCCUACUAAUGCACUCCAUGAGUAGUUUACCAGUACUAUAAUAUGAAUCAUUAAUUUGACUUUUAAAAACCAUUUAAAAAAAACAUGCUUGGGAGUUUGGGUGGGGAGGCAUGUUGCAGAGUAUGACUUGCAGGUGAGAAGCUUUUCUGGAGUUUUUCAAAUUUUAUUGUUACGUCUAUUUGAUUAUUCCAGGUUGCUGCUUAAUGGGAUUAAUUUAUUUGUAUCUGAGUAUUCAUGAUGCUGACUGGUUAUUACUCAAUGAUUGUAUGGGAGCAU